GACAGAGGAUGCAAGCGUUAUCCGGAAUGAUUGGGCGUAAAGCGUCUGUAGGUGGCUUUUUAAGUCCGCCGUCAAAUCCCAGGGCUCAACCCUGGACAGGCGGUGGAAACUACCAAGCUGGAGUACGGUAGGGGCAGAGGGAAUUUCCGGUGGAGCGGUGAAAUGCGUAGAGAUUGGAAAGAACACCGAUGGCGAAGGCACUUUACUGGGCUAUUACUAACACUCAGAGACGAAGGCUAGGGUAGCAAAUGGG
rnacentral:rRNA from 1 species